CUGAAGGCCAACGAGUCCCGGCUGAAGGACAUCAACAAGGUGGCUGAAGACCUAGAGUCUGAAGGUCUGAUGGCAGAGGAGGUGCAAGCCGUGCAACAGCAGGAGAUGUAUGGUAUGAUGCCCAAGGAUGAAGCAGACUCCAAGACAGCCUCCCCAUGGAAGGUAAGGACUCCUACCUUUUUCUGAUUGUU